UUUUUAAUGUUCCCCCUUAUCAAUGCCAUUCAAAAUAUGAUUCGCAAAAUGAAACCAUUCUAUUUGAAGUAGAUACUUAGAACACUUGAAGGGGAGGGGGAAACAACAAACAGAUGAAAUUUUCAAUUUAUAAUUUAUUUGAGAAAUUCAGACUUCAUGUAAGAUAUUGUAACUUGAGAGAAAUUAAAAUAACAUGAAUUUGAAAACAGUUAAUAUCUAGAAGUAAAAUAAGACCCAAUCCUUAAGGCUUUCAAUAACCUGCAUGCAAUGUAAGAUGAAGUACUCCCAAGUUAGGAAUUAUUAAGAAAAAAGUUGAUCAUUAUUGUGUGUGUGCGCGCGUGUGUGUGUGUGUGUGUGUGUG